rnacentral:lncRNA from 10 species
UGUCAACCAAGCUUUUAGAGCAGUUUUCUUUAAACAGCAUGAAUGCACAUGGGUACAUAUGGACAGAAACAGACACACACAUUCUCCAUGAGAAAAGAGAGCAAGUUCUAUAUAAGGAACCCAUGAUGGGAAACAGCCAAGUGAAAUGCACCUGGAUGUCUGUGUAAGCAGUCAUAAGAUUGCCAGUGGCCAGCAGAAGACGAAAGGGAAUGCCUGCCUAGGAGAGAAGAGCACGCCUUGUGCAAACAUCAAAGCGCUGCUUCUAAGAGGGCACAAUUAACAGUGCAUACCUCCUGGGAACAUGUUACCAAAAGUUAGAAGGCCAAAUUCCCUCAGCCUCUAUCCAGCAUCACAAAUAACUUCAAUGAGAACCAUAGGAACAUCGAGUGUCCUGUGAAUCUGAGAACUGCAAUGGGCCCUAGGGGCUCUUCCAUCCAGGCUUAUCAUGAUUCAGGAGAAGAAAUUGAGGACCGAAGACAUCAAAUAUAAUAAGCUAAUGGAGGAACUGAGGCUACUUGCCUGGCUCCAGUGCUCUUUCCUUUGCCUCAAAAUCUUUACAGGUCAGCCAUCUAUCAUGUGUAGAAUAAGCAAACUGAAUUAACAUUGGAAAUAUUAAAAGAACAGAGGUUGCGUGGAUAUUGGUUGGAACAGAGAAGAAGUUUUCACAAGGAAUUAAAGUAACACCAGCUGCUCACUGCUCUGACUUAAACCAUACAGCAACUCCAGAAACAUGGGGGGUGUUGUUGAGUGGCAAGGUAAGCUCAAGAAUGCUAAAUGUGUCUGAAGGCAAAGGGGAUUAUUUGUCAUUGGCCUUCUGACUCAAAAAAGCCAACAUAUAUAUAUAUAUCUCAAAACCUACUGAUAAGCAGAAAGAAUAUAGGGCUGUUAUACUUGGUUGGCAUCACUUUGUUCAGAAAGCAAGAAGGCAGCUGCAUUCCACACUGACCAAAACUAUUAUAUCAGGUUGUGCUUCUCUUAGUCUUAGGUGUCUUCUCGUAGGACUGUUUUAAAAUUCAACACGAGGGGAGAGGGAACAAGCUAGACACAGAGAAAAUAGUUAUAUAUUUAGAGGACUGUGAGAUCUUAAUAAAAUUUAACCGUAUGGGGGCUCUAUUGCAUUUACCAUUCAUUCAACAAAAGUUACUGAUUGCCCAUUAUGUACUAGGCCCUGGUCUAGGCACAUGGAAUACACAGAUGAAUAAAUAUGUUCACUGUCCAUUACUUUCUCAAAAGUUGAGGGGCCAGAAAACUAAAAUGAAAUGAGACAGACACUACUGGGGCUCAGGCUGGGUUGAGGGGAGGGCCUUCAACCCUGCCUUGCUAUAUUAGCAAAGGCUUCUAGGAGAGGAGUUGAGGCCUUUUCACGCUUUUUGAAGGAAAGAUCGUGUUAAUCAAGUAAAUUAGAGAAAAGACAUUCCUAGUGGAAGAAACAACCAUGUCAAACUUCAAAGAAUGAUCAGGAAACUAUAAUAAAUGUAUUCUUUCUCUAGUGCAUAUUGUUGAUGAGUAUUUGGAGCAAGACACAGGUGUGUGCCAUUCUGCACUUACUUGGUAAUUAAGUGAAAAAAAUCUAAAACUGAAAAUUUAAGAGUAGAUUUUCAAGUAUUGUUUCAAAAGUUCAAACAAUAUUAACAAACUCAGUGUCUCACCCCACCUAUUGGCUUUGCUUUUCGUUUUAUUGACCCAUUUUCCAGUAAGCUGUCUACUUAAAGAGACUGGUAGCUUGAGACUUAAGUAAUCAGAACAGAUAAUAAUCCUACAAAAAAAAAAAAGAGUUUUAUUCUAAUAGUUCCAGCAAGUCUUGAGAUUGCAUCUCAUUGAGCUGGCUUCAGUCACAUCACAUUCCUGAACUAAGGCCCUGGUAGUACAAAGCUCAAUCCUAUCAUCUUGACUGUCCUCUUCAGAGAAGAGAUUUUCUUCUCUUCUCUGCACCUCCGUCUAACCUGUACUAAAGUUAUCAUUAGUUUUUCCUUAAAUUAGAGAAUCCAAACACAUCAAACUCAUGCAAAAUAAUGAUGCCAGUUCCCUUCCUUACAUUACACACACAAAAAAUUAACUCAAAAUGGAUUAUAUACCUAAAUGUGAGAGUCAAAACUAUAAAACUCUUACAAGGAAACAUAGGGGUAAAUCUUUGUGCCCUUGAGUUAGGCAAAGCCUUCUUAGAAAUGACACUAAAAGCGUAAGCAACAAAAGAAAAUAGAUAAAUUUGACUUCAUCAAAGUUUAAAAGUUUUAUAAUACAAGUAAUACUAUUAAGACAAAUGAUCGCACAGAGAAUAGGAGAAAAUAUUUGGAAAUCAUAUAACACAUGUGACAAGAGACAUGUAUCCAGAAUAUAUAGAGAACUCCUACAAUUGAAUAAUAAAGGAUAAUUAAUCCAAUAUUUAAAUGGGCAAAGAAUCAGAGUAGACAUUUCUCUAAGGAAGGCAUAUGAAUAACCAAUAAGCUCAAGAGAAGAUGCUUACAAUGAUCAUUCAUUAAGGAAAUGCUAACUAAAACCACAAGAUACCACUUCACAAAGCCACUAUAGAGUGGCUAAUAACAAGAAUCGUAGAGGAUGUGGAGAAAUUGAAACUCUCAUGCAUUGCCACUGGGAAUGUAAAAUGUUGGAGCCACUUUGGAAGACAGAUUGGUGGUUCCUCAAAAGUUGAACAUGGAGUUACCUUAUGACCUGGCAAUCCCACUCCUAGGUACAUACUCAAAAGAAUUGAAAACAGGUACUCAAACAAAUACAUAUGCAAUCAUAGUCAUAGCAGCACUAUUCACAAUAUCCAAAAGGUAUAAAUAACCCACAUUUCAAUCCAUUGAUGACCUGAUAAACAAAAUGUAGUAUAUCCCUCCAACGGCCUGUUGUUUGACAAUAAAAAGGAAUGAAGAAUUGAUCAUAGUACAACAUGAAUGAACCUUGAAAACAUUAUACUAAGUGAAAGAAACAAGUCACAAAAGACCACAUAUUAGAUUAUUCCAUUUAUAUAAGACAUUGAGAAUAGGCAAAGCUAUAGAGAUGGAAAGUGGAUUAGUGGUUGCCAAGGGCUUGAGGGAUGGGGAGGGAUUAGGAGUGACUGCUGGUGGAUAGUUCAUUGCUUUUUGAAGUGAUGAAGAUAUUCUAAAAUUAAUUAGAUUCUGGGGGUUGUCACACAAUCCUGUCAAUAUAUUAAUAUCAUUGAAUUAUUAUAUACUUUAAAUGGAUGAGUGGUAUAGCAUGUGAAUUUUGCCUCAAUAAAGCUGUCUAGUGAAACACAGUAUAGACAAAGUAUUUGAAUAGGAAUUUUCCCAAAGAAAGUAUGCAAAAAAAGCCAACAAGCACAUAAAAAGAGGUUAAACAUUGGUCACUAAAGAAAUGCAAAUCAGUCCUGUUGUAGUGGCUCAUGACUGUAAUCCCACACUUUGGGAGGCAGAGGCGGGUGGAUCACUUGAGGCCAGGAGUUCAAGACCAGCCUGGCCAAUGUGUUGAAACCCCAUCUCUACUAAAAAUACAAAAUUAGCCAGGUGUGGUGGCGGGUGUCUGUAAUCCCAGCUACUCGAGAAGCUGAGGCAGGAGAAUCGCUUGAACUCGGGAGGCGGAGGUUGCUGUGAGCCAAGAUAGGGUCAUUGUACUCCAGCCUAGGCAAAGAGCAAAACUCCAUCGAGAAAGAGAAAGAAAGAAAGAGAGAAAGAGAGAAAGAAAGAAGGGAGGGAGGGAAGGAAGGAAGGAAGGAAGGAAGAGAAAGAAAUGCAAAUCAGAACCACAAGGAGAUAUCACUUCACACUCACUAGGAGGGCUAUGUUUUUUUUGUUUUGUUUUGUUUUGUUUUGUUUUUGAGACAGAGUCUCACUCUGUCACCGAGGCUGGAGUGCAGUGGCACGAUCUCGGCUCACUGCAAGCUCCAUAGGAGGGCUAUGAUUUUAAAAAUGGAAAGUAACACGUUUGGCAAAAAUGUGGAGCAAUAGGGAAGUUUGUACAUUGCUGGUGGGAAUAUAAAAUGGUGCAGCCAUUGUGAAAAUAGUUUGGCAACUCCUCAAAAAAUUAAAUACAGAAUUCUCAUUUGACCCAAUAAUUCCAUUCCUAGGAACAUAAGAGAAAUGAAAACAUAUGUCCACACAGAGACUUGUACAUGGACAUUUAUAGCAGCACUAUUCACAAUAGCCAAAAGAUGGGAAAAACCCCAAAUGCCCAUCAAUGGAUGAAAGGAUAAACAAAUCAUAUUAUAUACAUACAAUGAAAUAUUAUUCAGCCCUGAAAAGGAAUAAAGUCCUGAUACAUGCUACAUACCUGAUAGGAGUCCUGAUACAUGAAUCUCAAAAACAUUAUGCUAAGCAAAAGAAGCCAGACAAAAGGCCACAUAUUGUAUGAUUCCUUGUAUUUGGAAUACUCAGAAUAGGCAAAUCCAUAGAGACACAAAGCUGAUUAGCGGAGGAGGAAUAGAGAAUGAUUGCUUAAUGAAUGUAAGGUAUUUUGUGGUGUAAUGAAAAAGUUUUAAAACUAGAGAAAAACGGCCAUUGUACAGCAUUGUGAAUGCACCAAAUGCCCCUGAAUUAUCUACUUUAAAAGUUAAUUGAAUGUUAUUUGAAUUUCAGCUCUGUUUUUACAUCAGACUCAAAACAUAACAAAAAUCUAAUCUUCUCAUUUAGAGGUCACCCCAUAAACAUCAGGACAAAAUCCCAAUAACUUAUAUUGGCAUUCAAGUCCCUUCACAACUUGGCCUAAACUUAUAUCCUCCCCCUGAUCUCCACCACUUCCCACAAGUCCUCUAUAUUCUAGCCACAUGUUUCUCUCAUAACUCUUCUUUGAAAUGUCUUUCCACAACAGCUUUGCAUAUGCUGCUCUGCUUCCCCAUCUAGACCAUGAGCAUCUCAAAGGCAGAAACAACAUUUAAUUCAUCUUUGCAUCCCAACAGCCUAACCCUGAGUCUGGCAUUUAGUGGACACUUAAUGAAUGUUUGCUGAAUCGAAUUGAAUGUGCAUGGAAACUCUGGGAAAAAUCCUCCAGAAUCCUUCAGAUGGUGAAUGUGCAGUGAAGAGGUGGAAUGAGGCAAUUCCCUCAAAUUACAAAUUCACCUAUUUUGUUAAGAAAACAUUAAGAUGGAUAUCUUUUAUUUUUCUGUGUGAAAAUAAAGAAAAAAGAAUGCUGAA